GGUGGCCUAGUGGUUAGAGCGUCUGCCUCGGAUGCUGGAGGUCGUGGGUUCGAUCCAGGAUUUCGUCAUACCAAAGACU